UUUGGAUAUGCAUUAGAACGAUCGGCUAAUUGAAAUAAUCACACCAUCGUUUUUAAGCUCACCUAAGUUCAUAGAUGCAUAAAUAGAGUAUGGCAUAACAUUAAUCGAAGACCCUAAGUCUAACAUGCAUUGUUCAAACUUAGUCUUGCCAAUAACGCACGGAAUUGUAAAACUACCCAGAUCUUUGCAUUUAGGGGGUAAUUUCCUUUGUAACAUGGCAGAAACAUUCUCACUUACUUG
rnacentral:lncRNA from 1 species